rnacentral:sRNA from 1 species
AGUUCCCCAGCUCCAGCCGCCGUCGCUGCUCCCUGUGUAGUUGCAGCCGCUGCCGCCUCCCGCCAGCUCGCCUCGGGGAACAGGACGCGCGUGAGCUCAGGCGUCCCCGCCCCAGCCUUCCUCGGAACCAUGAACCCCAACUGCGCCCGGUGCGGCAAGAUCGUGUAUCCCACGGAGAAGGUGAACUGUCUGGAUAAGUUCUGGCAUAAAGCAUGCUUCCAUUGCGAGACCUGCAAGAUGACACUGAACAUGAAGAACUACAAGGGCUAUGAGAAGAAGCCCUACUGCAACGCACACUACCCCAAGCAGUCCUUCACCAUGGUGGCGGACACCCCGGAAAACCUUCGCCUCAAGCAACAGAGUGAGCUCCAGAGUCAGGUGCGCUACAAGGAGGAGUUUGAGAAGAACAAGGGCAAAGGUUUCAGCGUAGUGGCAGACACGCCCGAGCUCCAGAGAAUCAAGAAGACCCAGGACCAGAUCAGUAACGUGAGCUCUUGCCCUGCCCUGCGGCAUCCCUGCUGCCCUCUGUUUGGUCUCCUUCCUGCCAGCCUGGCAGACGCAAGCCUGGCAGAUGUGAAUGAGGCCAGUGCCUCCACUGCCCCUGCCCUCCAGGGUGGGCCUGGGGAAGAGCUUGGGGUUCCCAGAUGCCUCUUCUCUGUGUACCCCCAGACCAGCACGCAUAGCAUUUUCUUCUUGAAGGGACUGUAUUCUGUGGGGGCCUGUGUGCUAAAUCAGCCCCCACUCUCUCUGACUGUUGUUCUUUUUUCUGGAUAUCGUGGGUAUCGGUGAAGACUGCACGUCUCAUCUUAGCACAAAGGUCAAAACUGGGGGGCGGGGAGCACCUGGCCUCCCCUGGUCUGCGCCUGGGUGCUGACAUUGCAGUCAUUUCCGCCCUUCCUUGGCCUCCUCCCCCACAUCAGCCUGCUCUUCCUUCCUGUGUAAAAACCCCAGCCAGCUUCACCCGCCAGCCCUGCACCCCCUGGCUCACACCCCCCGCCUCCCUGAUGGUCAGUGGCAUCUGGCUGUGGCAGGGGUGGGCAUGGAGAGUGGGCAGGGGAUCAACUGUCCCCAGCAUCGUGUGCCCUCCAUGGCACCUGUGGCCAGAGAACAGGCCUCAGUUUCCUGCUUGGCAGAGCCACAGGCAAGCAGCCUGUGUGGCUUUAG